AGAAUGUUUUAGAUUUUUUUUGUUUUUAUUUUUAAAUUUUUUAGAUGUGUCUUUCAUUGAGUUUUGUGAAGGUAGACUAGAAAAUUUGAUUUUUUUUUUUUUUUAAAUAUGUUUUGUAUUGAGAUUUUCAAAGUGAAUGGGUGGAGUUGAAAAGUUGUUUGAAUAUAAUGUUUUAGGGUGUUUUUGUUUUGGUUCUUAUGUUUAUGACUUUCCACUGAAAUCUAGGCGAAUGAUUGGAUAAAAAGUUGAAAUAGGAAAUUUUUUUGAGAUUGAAAGAUGUUUGGAUUGAAGUUCAAAAAUGUUUUUGAGAAAUUUUAGAAACCUAAGUAAUCCAAGCAAAGCCCUAUCUUUGUGAAAAUUACACUUGCUAUAAGUUACAAUGAAACUCUGAUUUAUCCUUGAGGAGUUAUUCUCUUCUCUAUCAUGAGGUUCUCCUGAUAAUGGGGUGCCUGGCUGCAAAAGUUGGAAACUUCUUCGAUGAGGGGGAUGUUAAGCAAGAAGUCCGUAGGUUUGGAUAGGGCACUUAUUUCUCAUUAGUAAGUUACACACACGUCUGAUGGACUUGAACUGACAUAAUCCUCUACCUUGUUUUUACAAGAAAGGAGAUGUCAUUUGAGUUAUAGCUUGUUUGCUUUGAUGGGAGGAGAGACUUUAAUAGAAUUUUUGCAAGGGAGUUCUCUAAUUUUUCCAAGACAUGUUCUUGGGUUUUUUAUUUUUGGCAUAUUUUACAUUUUUAUGUUCUUUCACAUGGGGUAUUUUUGAGUUUGCUUUCAACAUAUGACUGUUUCGUUUUAUCAUCUGUCCAUUUAGGUUUUCAUUACAUUUCUGUUUUUGUCCAUCGAUUCCUUUAUCCACUAUGGAAAACCAUAUCUAUGCUCUGGGUGCCUCCUAUUAUAUAUCAGUUGCUGACUUGUUGGUUACUUCAGACUCAUCAAGUGAUGGCUGCAAGUCUGAUGCUCGAACUAACUUGUAAAUCCCAAAUGAACAUGGUUUUGCUGCCCGUUAAAUCAUCUUUUUUCCCA